CCUACGGGGGGCAGCAGUCGAGAAUCAUUCACAAUGGGGGAAACCCUGAUGGUGCGACGCCGCGUGGGGGAAUGAAGGUCUUCGGAUUGUAAACCCCUGUCAUGUGGGAGCAAAUUAAAAAGAUAGUACCACAAGAGGAAGAGACGGCUAACUCUGUGCCAGCAGCCGCGGUAAUACAGAGGUCUCAAGCGUUGUUCGGAAUCACUGGGCGUAAAGCGUGCGUAGGCUGUUUCGUAAGUCGUGUGUGAAAGGCGCGGGCUCAACCCGCGGACGGCACCUGAUACUGCGAGACUAGAGUGAUGGAGGGGGAACCGGAAUUCUCGGUGUAGCAGUGAAAUGCGUAGAUAUCGAGAGGAACACUCGUGGCGAAGGCGGGUUCCUGGACAUUAACUGACGCUGAGGCACGAAGGCCAGGGGAGCGAAAGGGAUUAGAUACCCUUGUAGUC
rnacentral:rRNA from 1 species